UACGAAGGGGCUAGCGUUGCUCGGAAUCACUGGGCGUAAGCGCACGUAGGCGGCUUACUAAGUCAGGGUGAAAUCCUGGAGCUCAACUCCAGAACUGCCUUGAUACUGGUGUGCUGAGUCCGGAAGAGGUGAGUGGAACUGCGAGUGUAGAGGUGAAUUCGUAGAUAUUACGCAAGAACACCAGUGGCGAAGGCGGACCCACUCGUCCGUAGUGACGCUGAGGUGCGAAGCGAUGGAGCAA
rnacentral:rRNA from 1 species